rnacentral:rRNA from 1 species
UACAGAGGUGGCAAGCGUUGUUCGGAAUUACUGGGCGUAAAGGGCGCGUAGGCGGCCUUCUAAGUCGGACGUGAAAUCCCCGGGCUCAACCCGGGAACUGCGUCCGAUACUGGCAGGCUUGAAUCCGGGAGAGGGAUGUGGAAUUCCAGGUGUAGCGGUGAAAUGCGUAGAUAUCUGGAGGAACACCGGUGGCGAAGGCGGCAUCCUGGACCGGUAUUGACGCUGAGGCGCGAAAGCCAGGGGAGCAAACGGG